rnacentral:rRNA from 1 species
UACGGGGGGGGGCAAGCGUUGUUCGGAAUUACUGGGCGUAAAGGGCGUGUAGGUGGCCAACUAAGUCCGACGUGAAAUCCCCAGGCUUAACCUGGGAACUGCGUCGGAUACUGGAUGGCUUGAAUUCGGGAGAGGGAUGCAGAAUUCCAGGUGUAGCGGUGAAAUGCGUAGAUAUCUGGAGGAACACCGGUGGCGAAGGCGGCUUCCUGGACCGACACUGACGCUGAGGCGCGAAAGCCAGGGGAGCAAACGGG